rnacentral:ncRNA from 16 species
UAUGUCCUGCGUGAUUGGCGGCAUUGAGAUGGAUCAUCUUGGGCAACGCAGGAUUCCCUCGUCGCGGGCCUGGGCGUCCCCU